rnacentral:rRNA from 1 species
UACGGGGGGAGCAAGCGUUGUUCGGAUUUACUGGGCGUAAAGAGCGUGUAGGCGGCCAGGUAGGUCGGUUGUGAAAACUCGAGGCUUAACCUCGAGAUGUCGGCGAAAACCAUCUGGCUAGAGUCCGGAAGAGGGUCGUGGAAUUCCCAGUGUAGAGGUGAAAUUCGUAGAUAUUGGGAAGAACACCGGUGGCGAAGGCGGCGACCUGGUCUGAUACUGACGCUGAGGCGCGACAGCGUGGGGAGCAAACAGG